UGCCACUACAGCAGGAGGGAGGAUGUGUUUUCUCUCUUUGGAGAGUACAGGAAUAAGUUGCCCUUAGAAGAUUAUUGCAAAGACUAAGGGAAGCAACUGCCCAAAGUAAGCGGUCCACCCCAAAGAUCUUUCUGAGGAUACAUGAUGUUGUGAAGUGGUAUGAAGAUUUUAUGGGAACUUGCUCCAGAUGACCUGAAUAACUCACUUAUAAAAGGCCAGUGAUCUUCAGACAUCCAGAGAAUGCAGCCUCCACUCUCCAUCAGAG